UGCAUCUUACUGCAGGCUGUCGUCUUUGGUCUCCAUCAGUAAGUACUUCAAGUCCUUCUUUACCUUCAGCAAGCAAGGGUGUGUUGUCUGCACAGCUCAGGUUCUCAGUGAGUUUUCCCCCAGGCCUGAUGACGCACCCUUCUGCAUUGAAUCCGCUUCUUAGAGCAUUUGCUCAGCACACAGAUCGAGAGAUGCAUGCGAUGUCUGCAGUGAUGUGCCUCGUCCCAUGGCCUCAUCUGAAUGCAUCUUCAAUUUCUGGUAGCUCCCUGAAGAUGUCCUGCUGCAACGGUUGCGAAUUACCUUCAGUUUUUGUUGUUUUAACUUGUGUGUGAUAUUAAGAAGACUCUGGAAUGAGCCCAGCUGUCCUGUAAAUUCGAUAUCAUCACUACUGUACAGGGGAUGAAAAUGAGACUGGGGAGGUGAGGAAACGGCUGCGAUCCCACAGGUUUCUGAACGAUGAUGUCAGGCCUUCGACGUCUCUAUCUCACCCCUCCCGGCAAACUGGCCCCUCGGCCGGUGACAUCACUGGGGGCUGUGAGAGUGCAGACUGUCCCACGCGACCCUGUCAGAGGCACAGAGGUCAAAAGGACUGCCUGUGAACCGUCUUUGUGGUGUCUCGGCGGAAAUCUAUUAUUUUUCAGAAAACCACGUUGGUCGGUCGUUAGUUACAUCAACAAAACCUUUCCUGUUGAUGUAAACCAGCUUACAUUAGCAGUGUGGCGACAAGCCUACAUCUCUAGACAAGCUUACUUUUUGAAUGUUGUAACGUGCCCUGGCCAGAGCUGCCGUGAAGACCCAGUUACAGUGGUGUGUCAGUCCGGUGGGUUCGUCUGCACGUGCCACAAGCGCAUGCUGGUGUUCAAUGCCGUCGCGUUUUAAUGUACACAGUCGCUGAUCUUGUAAAGCGUUCUGGCGAUCAUUAUUAUUUGUGAUAAUUAGUAUUUGUGAGCCUGUAUGGAUAAGUUUGAGGAGGAAGCCAUAAUUAAAGGUCAAAAAGGAGGAGAGAAAUCAUAAAAGGCCUCUGCUUGGUGACCAAUACCAUUGUGAUUCAAUUCGAUGCAGGCAGAUUUUACAAACCAAUUCUGCAGUUGGUAUCUGUGUCAUCUAAGAAUUAUUACAGUUGAGCAAUUGA